rnacentral:rRNA from 1 species
GACGAACGCUGGCGGCGUGCUUAACACAUGCAAGUCGAACGAAGUGGCGAACGGGUGAGUAAUACGUGGGUACCCUGCCCUCCUUUUUGGGAUAAGACUUGGAAACGGAGUCUACUACCGAAUAAAGGGGGAUGGGCGCGAGGCCGGUCAGCUUGGUGGAGGGGUGAUGGCGUACCAAGGCGGAGACGGUUAGCCGGCCUGAGAGGGUAACCGGGAACAUAGGGACUGAGCUGCGUCCCAGGCUAGUACGCGGUGCAGCAGUGGGGGAAAUGGCAGAAAGGGCGAAAGCGUGAUGCAGCGACGCCGAGUGGGGGAUGAGGGCUUUCGAGUUGUAAACCUCGUGCGCAAUCGAACGGGUAGCUGGAGAAGAAGCGCCGGCUAACUACGUGCCUGCCGCCGCGGUAAUAC